rnacentral:lncRNA from 13 species
CUUAAAGAUGUGACCACCUGCUUCCACUGUCUUUGGGGCCUGGGGAACAUGCGGGACAGAAAAGAGAGGCCGUGAUGGGAUGCUGAGGAAGUCAGCCUGACAACAUCUUCAUUAGCAUCCUCAUAUUAUCGUCAAUGGGACCAUGUUCAUUGGGGUCUGAGUCCUGGCGCUGAAGGAAUACUUAGUCUAGCCAGGUCCAGGGACUAGAGAACGUGCUCUUGUCACCAUCAGCCUCAGGUUCUGCAUCUACAUGAUGAUACCUGAGUCAACUCGAUGGCUGCAGGAAUAUUCCUGGAAGCCAUUCCUAUAACCAGAAGUUAGCAACAACUAUACAUACAGACUCUAAACAGAGGUGGUGGUAAAAUCACCUGAGAAAAUCCAGGAGCAGAGGAGCAGAGAAGCAGAGACUGAAGAGGAGAGCCCGUGCCGUGAGGAGCGAGGCUGGCAGGAAAUGCCACCUGAGCCAGCAGCCAGACCCUGCCUGGCAGGUACCACAAGGCCUGUUCCCUGGCACAGAAGCCGGAAAGCCAGUGGAAGUAGACAGGACUUCCACCGCCCUGGAGCUUGGCGGUCACAGGCAGGAAGGCACCAAAUCAGGUGAAAGGAGUGGGAGUCAGAACAUUGGUCCCCAUCCCUGGGCCUGGGGAAGAAUCUUAGCUCUGGUUUGUUGAGGGGAA